GGGUAGCUAGUUCAUCGGUAGAACGCUUCUCUGAUAAAGAAGAGGUGGAAGGUUCGAUUCCUUCGCUACCCACCA
rnacentral:tRNA from 1 species